rnacentral:snoRNA from 1 species
AAGAUUAUACUUUAAUGGAUUAUUUCUAAAGUAUUUAACUUGGAAAUGUGUUUGAAGAUGUUGAAUCGCCGAAACCAGGAUGAUGAGUUUCGUUGCUCUUUUUUGAGCGUGAGUCGGGUGUGAAGUAAUGAUUCGUUUCAUAUGUUUUGCAUCAUUGGUGAACGUUCUUUACUGUUUGAAACAGUGAAGAGGAAAGAAGAAUCAGCAGAGUGGU